GACGAACGCUGGCGGCGUGCUUAACACAUGCAAGUCGAGCGGUAAGGCCCUUUCGGGGGUACACGAGCGGCGAACGGGUGAGUAACACGUGGGUGACCUGCCCUCAGCUCUGGGAUAAGCCUGGGAAACUGGGUCUAAUACCGGAUAUGACUCCAUGACGCAUGUUGUGGGGUGGAAAGCCUUGUGCGGCUGAGGAUGGGCCCGCGGCCUAUCAGCUUGUUGGUGGGGUGANGGCCUACCAAGGCGACGACGGGUAGCCGGCCUGAGAGGGCGACCGGCCACACUGGGACUGAGACACGGG
rnacentral:rRNA from 1 species